AGUAACGCGUGGGAAUAUGCCCUUCUCUAAGGAAUAGCCUCUGGAAACGGAGAGUAAUACCUUAUACGCCCUUUGGGGGAAAGAUUUAUCGGAGAAGGAUUAGCCCGCGUUAGAUUAGGUAGUUGGUGGGGUAAUGGCCUACCAAGCCUACGAUCUAUAGCUGGUUUGAGAGGAUGAUCAGCCACACUGGGACUGAGACACGGCCCAGACUCCUACGGGAGGCAGCAGUAGGGAAUCUUAGACAAUGGGGGCAACCCUGAUCUAGCCAUGCCGCGUGUGUGAUGAAGGCCCUAGGGUCGUAAAGCACUUUCGCCAGAGAUGAUAAUGACAGUAUCUGGUAAAGAAACCCCGGCUAACUCCGUGCCAGCAGCCGCGGUAAUACGGAGGGGGUUAGCGUUGUUCGGAAUUACUGGGCGUAAAGCGCACGUAGGCGGAUUAGUAAGUUAGAGGUGAAAUCCCAGGGCUCAACCCUGGAACUGCCUUUAAUACUGCUAGUCUUGAGUUCGAGAGAGGUAAGUGGAAUUCCGAGUGUAGAGGUGAAAUUCGUAGAUAUUCGGAGGAACACCAGUGGCGAAGGCGGCUUACUGGCUCGAUACUGACGCUGAGGUGCGAAAGUGUGGGGAGCAAACAGGAUUAGAUACCCUGGUAGUCCACACCGUAAACGAUGAAUGCCAGACGUCAGCAAGUAUACUUGUUUGGUGUC
rnacentral:rRNA from 1 species